GGGUUGUGAGGUUAAGCGACUAAGCGUACACGGUGGAUGCCCUGGCAGUCAGAGGCGAUGAAGGACGUGCUAAUCUGCGAUAAGCGUCGGUAAGGUGAUAUGAACCGUUAUAACCGGCGAUUUCCGAAUGGGGAAACCCAGUGUGUUUCGACACACUAUCAUUAACUGAAUCCAUAGGUUAAUGAGGCGAACCGGGGGAACUGAAACAUCUAAGUACCCCGAGGAAAAGAAAUCAACCGAGAUUCCCCCAGUAGCGGCGAGCGAACGGGGAGCAGCCCAGAGCCUGAAUCAGUGUGUGUGUUAGUGGAAGCGUCUGGAAAGGCGCGCGAUACAGGGUGACAGCCCCGUACACAAAAAUGCACAUGCUGUGAGCUCGAUGAGUAGGGCGGGACACGUGGUAUCCUGUCUGAAUAUGGGGGGACCAUCCUCCAAGGCUAAAUACUCCUGACUGACCGAUAGUGAACCAGUACCGUGAGGGAAAGGCGAAAAGAACCCCGGCGAGGGGAGUGAAAAAGAACCUGAAACCGUGUACGUACAAGCAGUGGGAGCACGCUUAGGCGUGUGACUGCGUACCUUUUGUAUAAUGGGUCAGCGACUUAUAUUCUGUAGCAAGGUUAACCGAAUAGGGGAGCCGAAGGGAAACCGAGUCUUAACUGGGCGUUAAGUUGCAGGGUAUAGACCCGAAACCCGGUGAUCUAGCCAUGGGCAGGUUGAAGGUUGGGUAACACUAACUGGAGGACCGAACCGACUAAUGUUGAAAAAUUAGCGGAUGACUUGUGGCUGGGGGUGAAAGGCCAAUCAAACCGGGAGAUAGCUGGUUCUCCCCGAAAGCUAUUUAGGUAGCGCCUCGUGAAUUCAUCUCCGGGGGUAGAGCACUGUUUCGGCAAGGGGGUCAUCCCGACUUACCAACCCGAUGCAAACUGCGAAUACCGGAGAAUGUUAUCACGGGAGACACACGGCGGGUGCUAACGUCCGUCGUGAAGAGGGAAACAACCCAGACCGCCAGCUAAGGUCCCAAAGUCAUGGUUAAGUGGGAAACGAUGUGGGAAGGCCCAGACAGCCAGGAUGUUGGCUUAGAAGCAGCCAUCAUUUAAAGAAAGCGUAAUAGCUCACUGGUCGAGUCGGCCUGCGCGGAAGAUGUAACGGGGCUAAACCAUGCACCGAAGCUGCGGCAGCGACGCUUAUGCGUUGUUGGGUAGGGGAGCGUUCUGUAAGCCUGUGAAGGUGUGCUGUGAGGCAUGCUGGAGGUAUCAGAAGUGCGAAUGCUGACAUAAGUAACGAUAAAGCGGGUGAAAAGCCCGCUCGCCGGAAGACCAAGGGUUCCUGUCCAACGUUAAUCGGGGCAGGGUGAGUCGACCCCUAAGGCGAGGCCGAAAGGCGUAGUCGAUGGGAAACAGGUUAAUAUUCCUGUACUUGGUGUUACUGCGAAGGGGGGACGGAGAAGGCUAUGUUGGCCGGGCGACGGUUGUCCCGGUUUAAGCGUGUAGGCUGGUUUUCCAGGCAAAUCCGGAAAAUCAAGGCUGAGGCGUGAUGACGAGGCACUACGGUGCUGAAGCAACAAAUGCCCUGCUUCCAGGAAAAGCCUCUAAGCAUCAGGUAACAUCAAAUCGUACCCCAAACCGACACAGGUGGUCAGGUAGAGAAUACCAAGGCGCUUGAGAGAACUCGGGUGAAGGAACUAGGCAAAAUGGUGCCGUAACUUCGGGAGAAGGCACGCUGAUAUGUAGGUGAAGUCCCUCGCGGAUGGAGCUGAAAUCAGUCGAAGAUACCAGCUGGCUGCAACUGUUUAUUAAAAACACAGCACUGUGCAAACACGAAAGUGGACGUAUACGGUGUGACGCCUGCCCGGUGCCGGAAGGUUAAUUGAUGGGGUCAGCGCAAGCGAAGCUCUUGAUCGAAGCCCCGGUAAACGGCGGCCGUAACUAUAACGGUCCUAAGGUAGCGAAAUUCCUUGUCGGGUAAGUUCCGACCUGCACGAAUGGCGUAAUGAUGGCCAGGCUGUCUCCACCCGAGACUCAGUGAAAUUGAACUCGCUGUGAAGAUGCAGUGUACCCGCGGCAAGACGGAAAGACCCCGUGAACCUUUACUAUAGCUUGACACUGAACAUUGAGCCUUGAUGUGUAGGAUAGGUGGGAGGCUUAGAAGUGUGGACGCCAGUCUGCAUGGAGCCGACCUUGAAAUACCACCCUUUAAUGUUUGAUGUUCUAACGUUGACCCGUAAUCCGGGUUGCGGACAGUGUCUGGUGGGUAGUUUGACUGGGGCGGUCUCCUCCUAAAGAGUAACGGAGGAGCACGAAGGUUGGCUAAUCCUGGUCGGACAUCAGGAGGUUAGUGCAAUGGCAUAAGCCAGCUUGACUGCGAGCGUGACGGCGCGAGCAGGUGCGAAAGCAGGUCAUAGUGAUCCGGUGGUUCUGAAUGGAAGGGCCAUCGCUCAACGGAUAAAAGGUACUCCGGGGAUAACAGGCUGAUACCGCCCAAGAGUUCAUAUCGACGGCGGUGUUUGGCACCUCGAUGUCGGCUCAUCACAUCCUGGGGCUGAAGCAGGUCCCAAGGGUAUGGCUGUUCGCCAUUUAAAGUGGUACGCGAGCUGGGUUUAGAACGUCGUGAGACAGUUCGGUCCCUAUCUGCCGUGGGCGCUGGAGAACUGAGGGGGGCUGCUCCUAGUACGAGAGGACCGGAGUGGACGCAUCACUGGUGUUCGGGUUGUCAUGCCAAUGGCACUGCCCGGUAGCUAAAUGCGGAAGAGAUAAGUGCUGAAAGCAUCUAAGCACGAAACUUGCCCCGAGAUGAGUUCUCCCUGACUCCUUGAGAGUCCUGAAGGAACGUUGAAGACGACGACGUUGAUAGGCCGGGUGUGUAAGCGCAGCGAUGCGUUGAGCUAACCGGUACUAAUGAACCGUGAGGCUUAACCUUACAACGCCGAAG
rnacentral:rRNA from 1 species